rnacentral:rRNA from 1 species
ACAAUGGAGAGUUUGAUCCUGGCUCAGGAUGAACGCUAGCGGCAGGCCUAACACAUGCAAGUCGAGGGGCAGCACGUUAAAGAGUUUACUCUUUAUGGUGGCGACCGGCGGACGGGUGC